GGGUGAGUAACACGUGACUAACCUACCUUCGAGUGCGGGAUAAAUUCGGGAA
rnacentral:rRNA from 1 species